AAUAGAAUGAGAGCGGAUAGAAGAGGCCUUGUCUUCAUACGAGAUGGAGGCUAAGUGGAGGUUUCAUCCGGAGUAAAACAACUCGUCUGACCAGAAGAGUCCUUGCUUGAGGACUGCAAAUGCUGACGGCCUGGGUAAACACUACAUUUAUUCAGGCAUGCUCUAUCUUGAACAAGUGUCUAGUUAGUCUCCACAAAACUGCAUUUUGUACCAGGAACUCUAAAGCCUUUGGUGACUCACGAGCUAUAUGUGAGAAACUUUGGAGUGAUUGCUGUUGUUCACCAUAGCCAAUUAUCCUCACUGGGAGACCUCCUUCCUUGCAGUUAGAUUGGACCAUGUGACAAGUUCUGGCCAAUGAUAUGAGAGUGGAAGUGCCAUGUAUUGCUUUAGGACCCAGGAAAUUAAGAGUUCUCUACUCCUUUUUCCCGCCAUAGCAUCACCAGAAGCCCCAUGUUGCAGAGGUAGGAACAUGCAGCCUCGAUCUAUGAGUUACUGCUUGAAAGUGAGCUGUCCUGGAGAGCCAAGGGAACCAUAGCAGGCUUUGCAUGACCAAGAAAUUAACUUCUGAGUUUUGUUUUGAACCACUGACAUUAGAGGGUUGGUUUGUUUCUAGAACGUAGACUAACCUAUCCUAACUAAUAUGGAAACUUUGUUCAUGUAAAUAAGUAGGUAGGAAUGAAAGAAGGUUUGUUAUAGCAAUAUAGCUCCAUUAUUUGAAUUUCUUUCUUUUAUGUGCCAAAAAUCACACUGAUCCUUCAUUAAAAA
rnacentral:lncRNA from 1 species